AUUGGGUCCUUUGAGAAGGAGGGAAAAGAAAACACUCCAAGAAGCAGAAUGAGCCGACACAAGGUGGAGGCUCUUUUUAUCUCUCCAGUCCUCAACAUGAAACAGAACACAAGGGCAGAAGUGCAAACCUGGACUCGUGAUUUUCGUCACCAGGUUCCCCAGAGAGCUGAU